rnacentral:rRNA from 1 species
GGAGUACGGCCGCAAGGCUAAAACUCAAAGGAAUUGACGGGGCCCCGCACAAGCGGCGGAGCAUGCGGAUUAAUUCGAUGCAACGCGAAGAACCUUACCAAGGCUUGACAUGUAGGGAAAUCUCAUAGAGAUAUGAGGUCCGUAAGGGUCCUACACAGGUGGUGCAUGGUUGUCGUCAGCUCGUGUCGUGAGAUGUUGGGUUAAGUCCCGCAACGAGCGCAACCCUCGUCCUAUGUUGCCAGCGGGUAAUGCCGGGGACUCAUGGGAGACUGCCGGGGUCAACUCGGAGGAAGGUGGGGAUGAGGUCAAAUCAUCAUGCCCCUUAUGUCUUGGGCUUCACGCAUGCUACAAUGGCCAGUACAAAGGGCUGCGAGACCGUAAGGUGGAGCGAAUCCCAAAAAGCUGGUCUCAGUUCGGAUUGGGGUCUGCAACUCGACCCCAUGAAGUUGGAGUCGCUAGUAAUCGCAGAUCAGCAACGCUGCGGUGAAUACGUUCCCGGGGCUUGUACACACCGCCCGUCACGUCACGAAAGUCGGUAACACCCGAAGCCGGUGGCCCAACCCUUGUGGAGGGAGCCGUCGAAGGUGGGACUGGCGAUUGGGACGAAGUCGUAACAAGGUAGCCGUACCGGAAGGUGCGGCUGGAUCACCUCCUUUCUAAGGAG